CAUGCAAGUCGAACGGAGUCAAGAGGAGCUUGCUUUUCUUGACUUAGUGGCGAACGGGUGAGUAACGCGUGAGUAACCUGCCCUGGAGUGGGGGACAACAGUUGGAAACGACUGCUAAUACCGCAUAAGCCCACGGAUCCGCAUGGAUCUGCGGGAAAAGGAUUUAUUCGCUUCAGGAUGGACUCGCGUCCAAUUAGCUAGUUGGUGAGGUAACGGCCCACCAAGGCGACGAUUGGUAGCCGGACUGAGAGGUUGAACGGCCACAUUGGGACUGAGACACGGCCCAGACUCCUACGGGAGGCAGCAGUGGGGGAUAUUGCACAAUGGGGGAAACCCUGAUGCAGCGACGCCGCGUGGAGGAAGAAGGUUUUCGGACUGUAAACUCCUGUCGUUAGGGACGAUAAUGACGGUACCUAACAAGAAAGCACCGGCUAACUACGUGCCAGCAGCCGCGGUAAAACGUAGGGUGCAAGCGUUGUCCGGAAUUACUGGGUGUAAAGGGAGCGCAGGCGGACCGGCAAGUUGGAAGUGAAAACUAUGGGCUCAACCCAUAAAUUGCUUUCAAGACUGCUGGCCUUGAGUAGUGCAGAGGUAGGUGGAAUUCCCGGUGUAGCGGUGGAAUGCGUAGAUAUCGGGAGGAACACCAGUGGCGAAGGCGACCUACUGGGCACCAACUGACGCUGAGGCUCGAAAGCAUGGGUAGCAAACAGGAUUAGAUACCCUGGUAGUCCAUGCCGUAAACGAUGAUUACUAGGUGUUGGAGGAUUGACCCCUUCAGUGCCGCAGUUAACACAAUAAGUAAUCCACCUGGGGAGUACGACCGCAAGGUUGCAACUCAAAUGAAUUGACGG
rnacentral:rRNA from 1 species